rnacentral:rRNA from 1 species
UACGUAGGGUGCGAGCGUUAAUCGGAAUUACUGGGCGUAAAGCGUGCGCAGGCGGUGGCUCAAGCCAGGCGUGAAAUCCCCGGGCUUAACCUGGGAACUGCGUCUGAUACUGGGUGGCUUGAAUCCGGGAGAGGGAUGCGGAAUUCCAGGUGUAGCGGUGAAAUGCGUAGAUAUCUGGAGGAACACCGGUGGCGAAGGCGGCAUCCUGGACCGGCAUUGACGCUGAGGCGCGAAAGCGUGGGGAGCGAACAGG